rnacentral:rRNA from 1 species
AUUGAACGCUGGCGGCAGGCCUAACACAUGCAAGUCGAACGAGUGGCGGACGGGUGAGUAAUGUCUGGGAAACUGCCUGAUGGAGGGGGAUAACUACUGGAAACGGUAGCUAAUACCGCAUACCAUCAGAUGUGCCCAGAUGGGUUUAGCUUGGUGGUGGGGUAACGGCUCACCAAGGCGACGAUCCCUAGCUGGUCUGAGAGGAGGACUGGCAACACUGGAACGGAGACAGGGUCCAGACUCCUACGGAAGGCAGCAGUGGGGAAUAUUGCACAUGGGGCGCAAGCCGAAUGCAGCCAGGCGGCGUGUAUGAAGAGGUCCUUCGGGUUGUAAAGUACUUUCAGCGGGGAGGCGUUACCCGCAGAAGAAGCACCGGCUAACUCCGUGCCAGCAGCCGCGGUAAUUC